GGUGAGAUGGCCGAGUGGUUAUGGCGCUGCGUUCAGGUUAAGCUGAAUUCAUAGGUAUUAUAAAAUAUCGCAGUGGAGCAAUCCGCGUGGGUUCGAGUCCCACUCUCAUCA